GGAUUAUAGGGUCAGCGACUGAAAUGUCAAAACUCAAGCGAAGCGACAAAUGGUUUCUUGAUUCCUUUUCCUUUUGUUAUUUUACUUUUCACUCCUUUUGUGGUGAAGAAUAUGGCCAAAUAGCAAUAGGUCCGUGCCCAAAACACCACUGUUACAAAAAGGAGAUUCAUUUCUUCCUUGGAACACAACUUCUAAUUAAUUAGGCAUUGAACUUUGAAAAAGGGCAGUGAGGAGGACAUCCACCCACCAAAAAUACACCAAUCGUACAACUUUUGAUUACUUGUAGUUAGCAGCCUAGCUAGCUACCAACUUUUGCUCAAAUCAGAUGCAGAAAUGGAGGAGAAUGCCGGCUGCGUGCACGUAUCUUCUCAAGCCUCAACAGAUUGCCAGAAGUAAUUUCUGCUAUACCUGCUAUGUCACAUUAGUUUAGAAUAAAAAAUUUAUGUUAAUAAACAUUUUUCUCUUGAUCUAAUUUUUGAAAUUGAGCUAGACUCAAUUCAUUUUCUC
rnacentral:misc_RNA from 1 species